UAGGGAAUCUUCGGCAAUGGACGAAAGCCUGACCGAGCAACGCCGCGUGAGUGAAGAAGGUUUUAGGAUCGUAAAACUCUGUUGUUAGAGAAGAACAAGGACGUUAGUAACUGAACGUCCCCUGACGGUAUCUAACCAGAAAGCCACGGCUAACUACGUGCCAGCAGCCGCGGUAAUACGUAGGUGGCAAGCGUUGUCCGGAUUUAUUGGGCGUAAAGCGAGCGCAGGCGGUUUCUUAAGUCUGAUGUGAAAGCCCCCGGCUCAACCGGGGAGGGUCAUUGGAAAAUGGGAGACUUGAGUGCAGAAGAGGAGAGUGGAAUUCCAUGUGUAGCGGUGAAAUGCGUAGAUAUAUGGAGGAACACCAGUGGCGAAGGCGGCUCUCUGGUCUGUAACUGACGCUGAGGCUCGAAAGCAUGGGGAGCAAACAGG
rnacentral:rRNA from 1 species